CAGAGUUGCAAAACUCCCACAAACCAUCGCGAAUCUUACCCGUACGGUUGCCUCGGCGCUGGCGGUCCGGAAGGCCCCCGGGCCCCCCGGAUCCUCGGGUCUCCCGCUCGCGGGAGGCUGCCCGCCGGAGUGCCGAAACCAAACUCUUGAUAUUUUAUGUCUCUCUGAGUAAACUUUUAAAUAAGUCA
rnacentral:misc_RNA from 1 species